AGGCAGACUGUUUUGUUGGUAUAAAACAAGGACCCCUUGGAUUUCAUGCAGCACCAUCCCGAUGCCUUUAUGUAAUCGUCAUUCAGACUCUGCAUGUUUGGCAUUGCCUGUAAGGAGGCUGCCGGAACCAUGGUAACCCCUUGCAACUCAGCAAACAAUGAAAAGUAGACGGAUCAUUCUUUCCAGCGGCAUGUUGUGAGACCCCUAAAGCUGGACAGUUCCUGCAUGUGAACUCAGACUCUGACGAAACAGAACUCCUAGCAGUUGCUUUGAAUCCCUCUGGACUCCGCCUACAGAACGCCUAGCAGUUGCUUUGAAUCCCUCUGGACUCCGCCUCAUUCCUCAGCGCUUUGGAAGAGAGAUUACUGUUUCUGAGAAAACUUGGUCCAGCUAUGAAGCAGAGUCACCAAAUCCGGCCUCAAAUCUUUCUAUCACUUUUUAAUAAAGCUCACUUAUAAUAUGA